UGCAUGAAGUCGGAAUUGCUAGUAAUCGCGGAUCAGCAUGCCGCGGUGAAUACGUUCUCGGGCCUUGUACACACCGCCCGUCACACCAUGGGAGUCGGUAACACCCGAAGUCUGUAGCCUGACGCAAGAGGGCGCAGCCGAAGGUGGGAUUGAUGACUGGGGUGAAGUCGUAACAAGGUAAC
rnacentral:rRNA from 1 species